AACAGCGGGAAUGCUUUAUAUACUUGAGCAAAUUGCUUAAUCUCAUGAUUUACAAGGGGAUCCACUCUGUAAAAUAUCUUAUGAUGCUACAAAUGUCUGCAUAAAAAAAUUGUAGACUAGAAAGAAUCUCCAUGGAUAAGGGCUGUCUUGCACAAAGGAUAAACCAUUGGGAAUGUUGGGAAAAAUUAAGACUUAUGACUGGUGAAGCAACUGCUCAAGAAAUUCAACCAUGCAUGCCUACGAAAGAAAGAAAUCUUGCGCGAUAUCUUUGGAAUUUGAUGGCCCUGUGUGUCUGAUAUUGAGCUUCUCAUUUCCUGAGCUUUAAUCUGAGCCAUUCUCAGCUUAUUUAAGAUCUUGUCCAUUGAUGAUGAUCUCUUCUUUUCCAAUUUCAUCUCAAGUUUUCGUAUUGCAGCCUCUGCUUUUGCCUUCUGCAAGUUCUCCCAUGCUGUGAUCUUGGCUUCCUCCCUUUGCAACCUGCAGUAACAAUUGGAAAAGUCUGAUGAUGCCACUGCAACAUCCCAAGAUGAAAUGCGAGCAUCUGUAGCAUUUUCAUUAAUGUCCUGAAUAUCUGGCAAUCCUUUCUUGGUUGUGCAAGAACCAUGCCUUGCGGUCCUGCUAAUCAGGGUGGCUCUUUUGUCUACUUGCACUUCCCUGAUUUCCAAUUUAGCAGGAUGGUCACUCUCACUUUGUCCUGCAGGAGAGACAGAGGGAGGAGAGGAGGACCGCCCUCUAGGAGAUGAGCUGGUGCUACCUUCAGGGCUCAUCUGUGUUGCCAUAUCCCUUCUUGAAAUGAUCCGAGUAACAGCAUUUUCUGCAUCAUUGAUGUUAUCAAGUUUCCCAUCUUGAGAGCUGGGUGAUGAACACUCGCUAGCCAAAUCUGACCAACCAGGUCCACUAGCCGAUCGUGCCACAAUAGCUUGCCCACCAAUCCCAUCUCCAUUAUAAUGAACACCAACACCCUUAGGCAUCAAAACUCCAGUCGAAAAUGGAGAAUUCGCAAUGAAAUUCCUUACGGAGGCACUAUCUAGAACCUGCAUUGAAGGCGAAUAAUUAGAAUAGUAUGA
rnacentral:misc_RNA from 1 species